rnacentral:tRNA from 1 species
GUUAGAUUGGCAGAAAAAGUGCUUUAAAUUUAGAAUUUAAAAAUGUAAUUGAUAUUAUGUCUAAUA